UAGCUCAGUGGUAGAACGGUCGGCUGUGAACUGGUCUGUCUACGCGUAGGUUCGAAUCCUGCU
rnacentral:tRNA from 1 species